GGCGCUGUGGCCGAGUGGCUAGGCAGAGGUCUGCAAAACCUUUUACAGCGGUUCGAAUCCGCUCAGCGCCUCCA
rnacentral:tRNA from 1 species